rnacentral:rRNA from 1 species
AGGACGAACGCUGGCGGCGUGCCUAAUACAUGCAAGUCGAGCGGAUUGUUCCUUCGGGGACAGUUAGCGGCGGACGGGUGAGUAACACGUAGGCAACCUGCCUGUAGGAUCGGGAUAACUACCGGAAACGGUUGCUAAUACCCCAUAUGCUGAGGAGCAAAAGGAGGAAUCCGCCCAAGGAGGGUCUUGCGUCUGAUUAGCUAGUUGGUGAGGUAAUGGCUCACCAAGGCAACGAUCAGUAGCUGGUCUGAGAGGAUGAUCAGCCACACUGGGACUGAGACACGGCCCAGACUCUUACGGGAGGCAGCAGUGGGGAAUUUUCCGCAAUGGGCGAAAGCCUGACGGAGCAAUGCCGCGUGGAGGUAGAAGGCUCACGGGUCGUAAACUCCUUUUCUCAGAGAAGAUGCAAUGACGGUAUCUGAGGAAUAAGCAUCGGCUAACUCUGUGCCAGCAGCCGC